rnacentral:rRNA from 1 species
AGCGAACGCUGGCGGCAGGCCUAACACAUGCAAGUCGAGCGCCCCGCAAGGGGAGCGGCAGACGGGAGAGUAACACGUGGGAACGUACCCUUCAGUUCGGAACAACCCAGGGAAACUUGGGCUAAUACCGGAUACGUCCGUAAGGAGAAAGAUUUAUCGCUGAAGGAUCGGCCCGCGUCUGAUUAGCUAGUUGGUGGGGUAAUGGCCCACCAAGGCGACGAUCAGUAGCUGGUCUGAGAGGAUGAUCAGCCUCACUGGGACUGAGACACGGCCCAGACUCCUACGGGAGGCAGCAGUGGGGAAUAUUGGACAAUGGGCGCAAGCCUGAUCCAGCCAUGCCGCGUGGAUGAUGAAGGCCCUAGGGUUGUAAAGUCCUUUCGGCGGGGAAGAUAAUGACGGUACCCGCAGAAGAAGCCCCGGCUAACUUCGUGCCAGCCGCCGCCGUAA